GGCUCAGGACGAACGCUGGCGGCGCGCCUAAUACAUGCAAGUCGAGCGAGAAGACGUAGCAAUACGUUUGUAAAGCGGCGAACGGGUGAGGAAUACAUGGGUAACCUACCCUCGAGUGGGGAAUAACUAGCCGAAAGGUUAGCUAAUACCGCAUACGACUCUUGGUCUGCGGAUCGAGAGAGAAAGCGAUACCGUGGGUAUCGCGCUCCUGGAUGGGCUCAUGUCCUAUCAGCUUGUUGGUGAGGUAACGGCUCACCAAGGCUUCGACGGGUAGCUGGUCUGAGAGGACGAUCAGCCACACUGGCACUGCGACACGGGCCAGACUCCUACGGGAGGCAGCAGUAAGGAAUAUUGCGCAAUGGGCGACAGCCUGACGCAGCGACGCCGCGUGGGGGAUGAAGGUCUUCGGAUUGUAAACCCCUUUCGGCAGGGAAGAUGGAACGGGCAACCGUUCGGACGGUACCUGCAGAAGCAGCCACGGCUAACUUCGUGCCAGCAGCCGCGGUAAUACGAAGGUGGCAAGCGUUGUUCGGAUUUACUGGGCGUACAGGGAGCGUAGGCGGUUAGGUAAGCCCUCCGUGAAAUCUCCGGGCCUAACCCGGAAAGGGCGGAGGGGACUGCUUGGCUAGAGGAUGGGAGAGGAGCGCGGAAUUCCCGGUGUAGCGGUGAAAUGCGUAGAGA
rnacentral:rRNA from 1 species